UACGUAGGGUGCGAGCGUUGUCCGGAAUUACUGGGCGUAAAGAGCUCGUAGGUGGUUUGUCGCGUUGUUCGUGAAAACUCACAGCUCAACUGUGGGCGUGCGGGCGAUACGGGCAGACUGGAGUACUGCAGGGGAGACGUGGAAUUCCUGGUGUAGCGGUGGAAUGCGCAGAUAUCAGGAAGAACACCAAUAGCGAAGGCAGCUCGCUGAGAACGGUAUUGACGCUAAGGCGCGAAAGCGUGGGGAGCGAACAGG
rnacentral:rRNA from 1 species